CUGGUUUGAUAGAUUUAUUUUUCCAUUGAAACACUUAUUAAGCCUGAAAUAGUUUUAAAUAUUUUUUAUCAUUUAUGGUAGACCUUACAGACUUCCUGUGUUCAGCUCAAACUUACAAGAAGCAAAUGAGGAACAGACCCUUGCAGACUUCCUAAUCAAAAUGCUGCAACAAAAAGAAAUAAUUAGUUCAAAUUUACUGCCGUGUGACUCUUCUCCUCCACAGGUCACUGAGGUGGCCCCUGAAAAGCCUGGAACAGUCCACGUUGGGAAGGACCAUACCAAGUGUUGCUGACCACACCCACUGCUGAUCGCUAAACGAGCGUCCUGGAUCCAUCUCAGCCAUUGUAAGCUACAAAUAGUGCUUGACGGAGGGGGCGGAGCUGAGGGGAAGCCAGGCUACAAAGGGGGCCAGAAACCCUAGGACUGGCCGUCUCAACGCCCGUGAAGAAAUCAGCCGAUCCCAGCUUAUUAGGCCUCAGCCGACAAGUGGGUUUGUAGCUUAAGCAGUAAUACUGGUUCCUGCAGAGGGACCAGCUUAUCUGUGUAAUGAGCUGAGAACAGGACUGAUCAU